rnacentral:lncRNA from 1 species
UAUUACCAAUGAAACCCUAAGGAGUUCAAAACAAUCAGGACAAUGGACUCAGCUCCUUUUUCUGCAAAUAUUUCUCUCACCUUGAUAACUGUAAUCCUCUUUUAAUAUUGGGUCGUCUGUGAUCCUCAGAUUUCCCGACCAAAAUCGGGAUGCCUCGAGGCUCGACCGUAGAGUCCCAAACUCCCUCGACCUCGGAAAGAAUCGCAAGAACGAUGAGACGUGGAAUGUUUCCUCUUAGGCCAAAACGACAGACUACAGACCCGCCUCGGUGCGGGAGCCGCUCGCACCCACUAGAGACUUUCAAUAAUAGUAUUGAUUACACCAGAUAUGGGGAGAAGUCUCCAUUUCUCCUCACGUCCCGUCUGUUGGCGGAAGGCACGGUCCAAGAGAGCAGGAUUCCUCGACUUAGGCCGAGAUGCCCCGAGUGUCGACAGUGCGUACCCAGACCCCUCGACACUUCGGGAAGACGGGGUAGUACCUUCGCGGCCCUCCGUGGCGCUCAUCACCAACAACGGGAUAGUACCUUCGCGGCCCCCCGUAGCGCCCCCUCGACUAAGGUCGGGAUGCUCCGAGGGUCGACCGUAGAGAACCAGACUCCCUCGACCUCGGGAAGGCGCCGUGAGGGGUGGAAAGGGUGGCUCCACCUGGGGCACCACGAAGUGGACCCCC